rnacentral:rRNA from 1 species
GGAUGAACGCUGGCGGCGUGCCUAAUACAUGCAAGUCGAGCGAACAGACGAGGAGCUUGCUCCUCUGACGUUAGCGGCGGACGGGUGAGUAACACGUGGAUAACCUACCUAUACGACUGGGAUAACUUCGGGAAACCGGAGCUAAUACCGGAUAAUAUAUUGAACCGCAUGGUUCAAUAGUGAAAGACGGUUUUGCUGUCACUUAUAGAUGGAUCCGCGCCGCAUUAGCUAGUUGGUAAGGUAACGGCUUACCAAGGCAACGAUGCGUAGCCGACCUGAGAGGGUGAUCGGCCACACUGGAACUGAGACACGGUCCAGACUCCUACGGGAGGCAGCAGUAGGGAAUCUUCCGCAAUGGGCGAAAGCCUGACGGAGCAACGCCGCGUGAGUGAUGAAGGUCUUCGGAUCGUAAAACUCUGUUAUUAGGGAAGAACAAAUGUGUAAGUAACUAUGCACGUCUUGACGGUACCUAAUCAGAAAGCCACGGCUAACUACGUG